rnacentral:rRNA from 1 species
GAUGAACGCUGGCGGCGUGCCUAAUACAUGCAAGUCGAGCGAACAGACGAGGAGCUUGCUCCUCUGACGUUAGCGGCGGACGGGUGAGUAACACGUGGAUAACCUACCUAUAAGACUGGGAUAACUUCGGGAAACCGGAGCUAAUACCGGAUAAUAUAUUGAACCGCAUGGUUCAAUAGUGAAAGACGGUUUUGCUGUCACUUAUAGAUGGAUCCGCGCCGCAUUAGCUAGUUGGUAAGGUAACGGCUUACCAAGGCGACGAUGCGUAGCCGACCUGAGAGGGUGAUCGGCCACACUGGAACUGAGACACGGUCCAGUCUCCUACGGGAGGCAGCAGUAGGGAAUCUUCCGCAAUGGGCGAAAGCCUGACGGAGCAACGCCGCGUGAGUGAUGAAGGUCUUCGGAUCGUAAAACUCUGUUAUUAGGGAAGAACAAAUGUGUAAGUAACUAUGCACGUCUUGACGGUACCUAAUCAGAAAGCCACGGCUAACUACGUG